CUGGUGAGUGAGAUCUUAGAUAUCCCCACUGGCCACCGAGCUGCCACUAUGGGCCGGAGGUCAGCAACAUCAGCUGUAAACUAGCUGCCAGAGAAGAUCCCCUGAUCUUCCCUGUCGGCCUUGGUUCAUUGCCAGGUUAGCCUGAUGGCCAGUCCGGGCCUGCACACAGCUUUGAAUAGGCUUGUAGCAGCUGCAGUAUCAGUAUGGUGGCUAUCAGCAUUUUGAGCAGCUUCAUUUAUUAGAUAUGGUGAGUGCAACUGUGGCUGGCUCUGAUGGACAAGACAAUUUCUGGUCUGGAAGGACACGGACUGUGUAUUAGCAAAAGCAGAAGACACUUUGGAUAGGAACAUAUUUUUUUCUUGUUUUUGUGAACUUUUUUUGCAUGUUAUGGUGUCACUUUGGGUCCAAGCAUAUUCCUUUAAAAUCUUAUUUAAAAAUGUUUGUUUCAUAUGGAGUUCUUCUGCAAGGAAGGUCUUCCAGGGACAGAAAGUUGAGAGGGAGGUAGAAUUGGUUGGUUUUCGAGAAUUACUUAAAUACAGAGUAGACAUUUCGGAGAGGCUGAGUUAGUUUGGUGAAUGUACAUACCACCAUUCAGGCCCUGAUUCAAUGUUUUCCAGACAAACACAGCAAUCACAAACACAAAGGUAAGCUAAUUAUAACUAAUUAAAAUCAGGUACUAAUUCAGCCAGGAUGCAGGAAAUUAUUUAUAUAUGCGAUUUCGCAAAGCCCUCUCUACUUCGUGUGAACGGUUAUUUGGCGGGGCAUAGGUCUCAAGCAACAGACAUCAAAUCAAGGCACUUAUAAUGCAAUCUACAUCUGUAAAACAUAUUUUUUAUACAAGUCUCUUGAUUUUGUGCAACUGAAAUCCCUGCCUCUGUAACAUCUGGACAUAUUUAAAUGCUUCCUGGCCAGGCAGACUAGCCGAGCCCAGCUAUUUAAACGCAAUAAGGGCAGAAAAGGUUGAUGACAGAUUUUAUUUUUAUUUACAUAUAUUCACUCUGUGAAUUGACACUGUGUCGCAAAUCAAAACGAAUUUGCAUUUUAUGCGACCUGCUUAGUGGACUAUUUUGAGCAGAUAGUCACAGCUGUUGAAGUUAAAGAACUGCGUUUGCUGCUAUAGGGCAGGGGGACAGAAAUUUUAAGAAGUUUGAAAAACUGGUUUAACUCUUUGGGUACUACACAGCUAGUUAACAAUACACAAAGUAAAACGGUAAAAUCUAUUUCUGUGCCCUAGCAAAAAAAUAAAUAAAAAGUGGGGGCCUACUUCAAAUAAUGCACAUGAUGGUUUUACUGUUAUAAGUUAAAGAAAGUAAAACAAAUGUAUUAAAACAUAUAUUAUUAAAGGGACACAGCAGCUGUGAAUAUAUUUCAAUGCAUAACGAAGAUAAUGCAGUAAAAAGUAUCCAGGAUACCCUUGCCUCUGCUCAGAAUGGCCCACC